UACGGAGGGUGCAAGCGUUAUCCGGAUUCACUGGGUUUAAAGGGUGUGUAGGCGGGCUGUUAAGUCAGUGGUGAAAUCUCCGGGCUCAACCCGGAAACUGCCAUUGAUACUAUCAGUCUUGAAUACUGUGGAGGUCAGCGGAAUAUGUCAUGUAGCGGUGAAAUGCUUAGAUAUGACAUAGAACACCAAUUGCGAAGGCAGCUGACUACACAAAUAUUGACACUGAGGCACGAAAGCGUGGGGAUCAAACAGG
rnacentral:rRNA from 1 species